rnacentral:rRNA from 1 species
GACGAACGCUGGCGGCGUGCCUAAUACAUGCAAGUCGAACGAACUCUGGUAUUGAUUGGUGCUUGCAUCAUGAUUUACAUUUGAGUGAGUGGCGAACUGGUGAGUAACACGUGGGAAACCUGCCCAGAAGCGGGGGAUAACACCUGGAAACAGAUGCUAAUACCGCAUAACAACUUGGACCGCAUGGUCCGAGUUUGAAAGAUGGCUUCGGCUAUCACUUUUGGAUGGUCCCGCGGCGUAUUAGCUAGAUGGUGGGGUAACGGCUCACCAUGGCAAUGAUACGUAGCCGACCUGAGAGGGUAAUCGGCCACAUUGGGACUGAGACACGGCCCAAACUCCUACGGGAGGCAGCAGUAGGGAAUCUUCCACAAUGGACGAAAGUCUGAUGGAGCAACGCCGCGUGAGUGAAGAAGGGUUUCGGCUCGUAAAACUCUGUUGUUAAAGAAGAACAUAUCUGAGAGUAACUGUUCAGGUAUUGACGGUAUUUAACCAGAAAGCCACGGCUAACAACGUGCCAGCAGCCGCGGUAAUACGUAGGUGGCAAGCGUUGUCCGGAUUUAUUGGGCGUAAAGCGAGCGCAGGCGGUUUUUUAAGUCUGAUGUGAAAGCCUUCGGCUCAACCGAAGAAGUGCAUCGGAAACUGGGAAACUUGAGUGCAGAAGAGGACAGUGGAACUCCAUGUGUAGCGGUGAAAUGCGUAGAUAUAUGGAAGAACACCAGUGGCGAAGGCGGCUGUCUGGUCUGUAACUGACGCUGAGGCUCGAAAGUAUGGGUAGCAAACAGGAUUAGAUACCCUGGUAGUCCAUACCGUAAACGAUGAAUGCUAAGUGUUGGAGGGUUUCCGCCCUUCAGUGCCGCAGCUAACGCAUUAAGCAUUCCGCCUGGGGAGUACGGCCGCAAGGCUGAAACUCAAAGGAAUUGACGGGGGCCCGCACAAGCGGUGGAGCAUGUGGUUUAAUUCGAAGCUACGCGAAGAACCUUACCAGGUCUUGACAUACUAUGCAAAUCUAAGAGAUUAGACGUUCCCUUCGGGGACAUGGAUACAGGUGGUGCAUGGUUGUCGUCAGCUCGUGUCGUGAGAUGUUGGGUUAAGUCCCGCAACGAGCGCAACCCUUAUUAUCAGUUGCCAGCAUUAAGUUGGGCACUCUGGUGAGACUGCCGGUGACAAACCGGAGGAAGGUGGGGAUGACGUCAAAUCAUCAUGCCCCUUAUGACCUGGGCUACACACGUGCUACAAUGGAUGGUACAACGAGUUGCGAACUCGCGAGAGUAAGCUAAUCUCUUAAAGCCAUUCUCAGUUCGGAUUGUAGGCUGCAACUCGCCUACAUGAAGUCGGAAUCGCUAGUAAUCGCGGAUCAGCAUGCCGCGGUGAAUACGUUCCCGGGCCUUGUACACACCGCCCGUCACACCAUGAGAGUUUGUAACACCCAAAGUCGGUGGGGUAACCUUUUAGGAACCAGCCGCCUAAGGUGGGACAGAUGAUUAGGGUG